UACAGAGAGUGCGAGCGUUAAUCGGAAUUACUGGGCGUAAAGCGCGCGUAGGCGGCUUUUCAAGUCGAUUGUGAAAUCCCCGGGCUUAACCUGGGAACUGCAGUCGAGACUGUCUAGCCAGAGUAUGGGAGAGGGAAGUGGAAUUUCAGGUGUAGCGGUGAAAUGCGUAGAUAUCUGGAGGAAUACCGGUGGCGAAGGCGGCAUCCUGGACCGACAUUGACGCUGAUGAGCGAAAGCUAGGGGAGCAAACGGG
rnacentral:rRNA from 1 species